UACGUAGGGCGCAAGCGUUGUCCGGAAUUAUUGGGCGUAAAGAGCUCGUAGGCGGUUUGUCGCGUCUGCUGUGAAAACCUAAGGCUCAACCUUGGGCUUGAAGUGGGUACGGGCAGACUAGAGUGCGGUAGGGGUGACUGGAAUUCCUGGUGUAGCGGUGGAAUGCGCAGAUAUCAGGAGGAACACCGAUGGCGAAGGCAGGUCACUGGGCCGCAACUGACGCUGAGGAGCGAAAGCAUGGGGAGCGAACAGG
rnacentral:rRNA from 1 species